rnacentral:rRNA from 1 species
GACGUGACUUCAGAGUUUGAUCCUGGCUCAGGAUGAACGCUGGCGGCGUGCCUAACACAUGCAAGUCGAACGGAGUUUUUAUGGAAUGCGACUUCGGUCAAAUGAAAUAAGACUUAGUGGCGGACGGGUGAGUAACGUGUGAGCAACCUGCCUUUCAGAGGGGGAUAACGCAGAGAAAUCUGCGCUAAUACCGCAUGACAUGUUUGGAUCGCAUGAUCUGAAUAUCAAAGGAGCAAUCCGCUGAAAGACGGGCUCGCAUCUGAUUAGAUAGUUGGUGAGGUAACGGCUCACCAAGUCAACGAUCAGUAGCCGGACUGAGAGGUUGAACGGCCACAUUGGAACUGAGAUACGGUCCAG